rnacentral:rRNA from 1 species
UCUUCAACGGAGAGUUUGAUCCUGGCUCAGGACGAACGCUGGCGGCGUGCUUAACACAUGCAAGUCGAGCGGUAAGGCCCUUCGGGGUACACGAGCGGCGAACGGGUGAGUAACACGUGGGUGAUCUGCCCUGCACUUCGGGAUAAGCCUGGGAAACUGGGUCUAAUACCGGAUAUGACCUUCGGCUGCAUGGCUGAGGGUGGAAAGGUUUACUGGUGCAGGAUGGGCCCGCGGCCUAUCAGCUUGUUGGUGGGGUAAUGGCCUACCAAG